GUGCUCGCUUCCACAGCACAUAUACUAAAAUUAGGACAAUACAGAGAAGAUUAGCAUGGCCCCUGUGCAAAGAUGACAUGCAAAUUUGUGAAGUGGUAAAAAAAAAA